rnacentral:piRNA from 1 species
UUAAUGGUUGGAUUUUGAGGGACC